CAGUCGCCACGGUAAUACGAAGGGUGCAAGCGUUACUCGGAAUUACUGGGCGUAAAGCGUGCGUAGGUGGUUGUUUAAGUCUGCUGUGAAAGCCCUGGGCUCAACCUGGGAAUUGCAGUGGAUACUGGGCAACUAGAGUAAGGUAGAGGAUAGUGGAAUUUCCGGUGUAGCAGUGAAAUGCGUAGAGAUCGGAAGGAACAUCUGUGGCGAAGGCGACUAUCUGGGCCAUUACUGACACUGAGGCACGAAAGCGUGGGGAGCAAACAGGAUUAGAUACCCCUGAGUCCCUGUCUCUUAUACA
rnacentral:rRNA from 1 species